GGGGGUCAGAGAGGCACUGAGAUGGGGGUCUGAGGGGCACUGAGAGGGUCAGAGGGGCACUGAGAUGGGGGUCAGAGGGCACUGAGAUGGGGGUCAGAGGGGCACUGAGAUGGGGGUCAGAGAGGCACUGAGAUGGGGGUCAGAGGGCACUGCGAUGGUCUGAGGGGCACUGAGAUGGGGGUCAGAGGGCACUGAGAUGGGGGUCAGAGGAGCACUGAGAUGGGGGUCAGAGGGCACUGAGAGGGUCAGAGGGCACUGAGAUGGGGGUCAGAGGGCACUGAGAUGGGGGUCAGAGGGGCACUGAGAGGGUCAGAGGGGCACUGAGAUGGGGGUCAGAGGGGCACUGAGAUGGGGGUCAGAGGGCACUGAGAUAGGGGUCUGAGGGGCACUGAGAUGGGGGUCAGAGGGCACUGAGAUGGGGGUCAGAGGGGCACUGAGAUGGGGGUCAGGGGGCACUGAGAUGGGGGUCAGAGGGGCACUGAGAGGGUCAGAGGGGCACUGAGAUGGGGGUCAGAGGGCACUGAGAUGGGGGUCAGAGGGGCACUAAGAGGGUCAGAGGGCACUGAGAUGGGGGUCAGAGAGCACUGAGAGGGUCAGAGGAGCACUGAGAUGGGGGUCAGAGGGCACUGAGAUGGGGGUCAGAGGGCACUGCGAUGGUCAGAGGGGCACUGAGAUGGGGGUCAGAGGGCACUGAGAGGGUCAGAGGGGCACUGAGAUGGGGGUCUGAGGGCACUGAGAUGGGGGUCAGAGGGGCUCUGACAUGGGGGUCAGAGGGCACUGAGAUGGGGGUCAGAGGGCACUGAGAUGAGCGUCAGACGGGCACUGAGAUGGGGGUCAGAGGGGCACUGAGAUGGGGGUCAGAGGGCACUGAGAUGAG
ensembl:lncRNA